rnacentral:rRNA from 1 species
AUUGAACGCUGGCGGCAGGCCUAACACAUGCAAGUCGAACGAGUGGCGGACGGGUGAGUAAUGUCUGGGAAACUGCCCGAUGGAGGGGGAUAACUACUGGAAACGGUAGCUAAUACCGCAUACCAUCGGAUGUGCCCAGAUGGGAUUAGCUAGUAGGUGGGGUAACGGCUCACCUAGGCGACGAUCCCUAGCUGGUCUGAGAGGAUGACCGGCCACCUUGGAGCUGAGACGCGGUCCAGACUCCUACGCGAGGCAGCAGUGGGGAAUAUUGCACAGUGGGCGCGAGCCUGAUGCAGCCGUGCCGCGUGUAUGACGAAGGCCUUCGGGUUGUAAAGUACUUUCAGCGAGGAGGCGUUACUCGCAGAAGAAGCACCGGCUAACUCCGUGCCAGCAGCCGCGGUAAUAC